GACGAACGCUGGCGGCGUGCUUAACACAUGCAAGUCGAACGGAAAGGCCCUGCUUUUGUGGGGUGCUCGAGUGGCGAACGGGUGAGUAACACGUGAGUAACCUGCCCUUGACUUUGGGAUAACUUCAGGAAACUGGGGCUAAUACCGGAUAGGAGCUCCUGCUGCAUGGUGGGGGUUGGAAAGUUUCGGCGGUUGGGGAUGGACUCGCGGCUUAUCAGCUUGUUGGUGGGGUAGUGGCUUACCAAGGCUUUGACGGGUAGCCGGCCUGAGAGGGUGACCGGCCACAAUGGGACUGAGAUACGGCCCAGACUCCAACGGGAGGCAGCAGUGGGGAAUAUUGCACAAUGGGCGGAAGCCUGAUGCAGCAACGCCGCGUGCGGGAAGACGGCCUUCGGGUUGUAAACCGCUUUCGCCUGUGACGAAGCGUGAGUGACGGUAAUGGGUAAAGAAGCACCGGCUAACUACGUG
rnacentral:rRNA from 1 species